CUUUAUUGCAGCCCGGUCCCGGUCCCGGUCCCGAGCCGCUGCGCGGCCACGGCCGCCAUCCCUCUGCCCUGGCACGCCGCUUCCACCGCCACCGGGUCCGUUCACGGCACCACAGCGGGCGAAAACUGCAGCCUUGUAUCCUUCCGCGCUAACAGACUGGGAUGAAGUCAGAGGCCAGAUUUGCAAAGAAGAAAGUCGAAAUCCUCCGGCUCAGUCUAGCAGAGCCUAUGAGUGGAGGGGAUGGAGGCAUCCGUGCUCCUGGCUGUGGCAACCAGAUGGCACGUGAGGAAACCCCGCACGGCCCAGCUCUGAGAAAAUGUGCUGCCAGAUCCCUCUGAAAAACCUCUGUAUGUGCAGCAUUGGUUUGUGCUGGUGCUGAGCCCCCUGUGUGUGUGCCCAGCAAACAUUCCUGCCUGCUCCUGACUGGUUUCCAAGCCAGGUCCCUUUGCAGCUCCCACCAUGCCGGACACAAGUGCUGGGCACUGCAGGGCAGUGUUCCAGAGGGAGGAUGUGCAGGAGAAACGGGCCUGAACGCGAGGGGUCCAAUGCAUCCCCUCUGAGGAGAGACCUUCACCCAGUCCUGGUGCCAGGGGAAGCCAAAGUAAGUAAUUUCUCAACUGUUUUCUUAACCUGGGGCUUUGUGAACAGAACUGAGCUCCAAGGGCAGUAUGGGGGAGCGGGAUCUCGUCUGUCCCUCUGGCUCUGUCCCAGUCCCACCACGCCAAUUUUUAACGGCAAUUUAG